rnacentral:tRNA from 1 species
GGCCGUCGCGAGGGCUCGGAUCUCGCGCGGGUCGCGUGCGCGGGUGCGGGACAUCUGUGAACGUGCCUUCCUGUUCCGGCCCGGGCGUCGGCUG